rnacentral:rRNA from 1 species
UACAGAGGGUGCAAGCGUUGUUCGGAAUUACUGGGCGUAAAGCGCGUGUAGGCGGCGGCGUUAGUCGGAUGUGAAAUCCCUCAGCUCAACUGAGGAAGUGCAUUCGAUACUGCGUCGCUUGAAUGUCGGAGGGGAUGGCGGAAUUCCCGGUGUAGAGGUGAAAUUCGUAGAUAUCGGGAGGAACACCUGUGGCGAAGGCGGCCAUCUGGACGACGAUUGACGCUGAGACGCGAAAGCGUGGGGAGCAAACAGG